GACGAACGCUGGCGGCGUGCCUAAUACAUGCAAGUAGAACGCUGAAGGAGGAGCUUGCUUCUCUGGAUGAGUUGCGAACGGGUGAGUAACGCGUAGGUAACCUGCCUGGUAGCGGGGGAUAACUAUUGGAAACGAUAGCUAAUACCGCAUAAGAUUGACUAUUGCAUGAUAGUCAGUUAAAAGGUGCAAUUGCAUCACUACCAGAUGGACCUGCGUUGUAUUAGCUAGUUGGUGGGGUAACGGCUCACCAAGGCGACGAUACAUAGCCGACCUGAGAGGGUGAUCGGCCACACUGGGACUGAGACACGGCCCAGACUCCUACGGGAGGCAGCAGUAGGGAAUCUUCGGCAAUGGACGGAAGUCUGACCGAGCAACGCCGCGUGAGUGAAGAAGGUUUUCGGAUCGUAAAGCUCUGUUGUAGGAGAAGAACGAGUGUGAGAGUGGAAAGUUCACACUGUGACGGUAUCUUACCAGAAAGGGACGGCUAACUACGUG
rnacentral:rRNA from 1 species